rnacentral:lncRNA from 1 species
CAAAUGGAGACAUGAGCCUACUACGGGAGUCUGAUCCACAUUACUAGCAGGUUAUUCAAGGCAUCCUGGGUACAGAGGCUCAGCCAGCAUCACCCCAGCAUCAUUCUGAGAGCUUAAAUCAAGCAGACAGCCGGUUGCACAGAGCUGGGUAGGAAUGAGCUUUAGCAAAUGAACUAUUUUCAACUAGACUUUCCUUUGAUUUCCAAGGGCCAAAGCCUCC